AAAGGGAACUAAUUCAGAGUCCUGGGUCUUGGGUGUGACAAGUGUUACGAGAUUAGUUUAUGCUCAUGCUUUUCAUAUUAGUAUCUCUUGGCUGUCUCAACAGGGGAGACUAAUUGUCGUAUGCGGAUUGCCAGAUUGCUUGCCGAAUCUGAAACACGGAGAUUGCUUUCGUGUGCAGAUCGCAUUCAUGAACUGGCCUGACUACUUCAGAGAAAGUGUUAUUGAAGGCGUAUUUUUCCUUUUGUCCCCGUUGGGCUAAUGUGGGGACAGAUCCUUCAGGUUGUUUGCUUCAUUGCGUUCCAGUACUGAAAAGAAAAGAGGUAAAAGUGUGGAACUUACGGCAGGUACACAGAGUGGAGAACUGGAUUAAGCGACAACGUUGAUCAUGCAUUGUAGCAUCUACAGGAACCUA